AAACCAAAAAACCCAAAAAAAAAAACCCAAAAACCCGAAUUUUUGUUGGGGUUGCUACCAAAAAAAAACAAAAAAAAAAAACCCCAAUCUUCGAGUUGUAAUCUUUGGAGGACGCAUCCGACACCACAGCCCAUGAAGAUCAUAAGUUCCCUUGGAAAAGGGCAUCAUAGAGGGUGAAAAUCCCGUGAUAUGGUCUUUCCUCCGGUGCUGUUUUCAGGUGGAACGGUGUUGCCGUCACUCCGUGAGUCGGGUUGUUUGAGAAUGCAGCCCUAAUACGGGUGGUAAAUUCCAUCCAAGGCUAAAUAUUCAUGCGAAAGAUCGAUAGCGAACAAGUACCGCGAGGGAAGGUUGCAAAGAACUUUGAAAAGAGAGUUCAAGAGAACUUGAAGUUGUUGAGGGGGAAGCGAAGGCGACUUGAAACCCCUUGGAUUUCAUACAUGACUUUCAAAAACGGGGUCGUCGUUUGUCUUGCAGUGGGCACAACCAUCUUUUUAUUACUCUUCUCUCGAGAAGGGUCAUAAAAAGGUGUCAUUUUGCAAACUGUGUUACAAGCGCGUCAGCAUCAAUUCAAACAAACUUUCGCAGGAAAAAUACUAAUGAGGUUAGAAGGGGAAAGUAGAGGUUUCAGACCUU
rnacentral:rRNA from 1 species